GCGGCACCUAGCAUGUUUGACAGGCGGGGACUGCGAGGCACGCUGCUCGGGUGUUGGGGACAACAUUGACCAACGCUUUAUUUUCCAGGUGGCAGUGCUCCUUUUGGACUUUUCUCUAGGUUUGGCGCUAAACUCUUCUUUGUUCCUCAUGGCGAGCAGAUGGAACCGGGAGACAUGGAGUCCCUGGCCAGUGUGAGUCCUAGCAUUGCAGGAGGGGAGACCCUGGAGGAGAGAGCCCGCCUCAAUUGAUGCCUGCAGAUUGAAUUUCCAGAGGCUUAGGAGGAGGAAGUUCUCCAAUGUUCUGUUUCCAGGCCUUGCUCAGGAAGCCCUGUAUUCAGGAGGCUACCAUUUAAAGUUUGCAGAUGAGCUUAUGGGGGGCAAUCUUAAAAAGUCCACAGCAGAUGCAUCCGGCUCGAGGGGCCAUCAGCUUUGAAUAAAUGCUUGUUCCAGAGCCCAUGAAUGCCAGCAGGCACCCCUCCUUUCCUGGGGUAAAGGUUUUCAGAUGCUGCAUCUUCUAAAUUGAGCCUCCGGUCAUACUAGUUUUGUGCUUGGAACCUUGCUUCAAGAAGAUCCCUAAGCUGUAGAACAUUUUAACGUUGAUGCCACAACGCAGAUUGAUGCCUUGUAGAUGGAGCUUGCAGAUGGAGCCCCGUGACCUCUCACCUACCCACCUGUUUGCCUGCCUUCUUGUGCGUUUCUCGGAGAAGUUCUUAGCCUGAUGAAAUAACUUGGGGCGUUGAAGAGCUGUUUAAUUUUAAAUGCCUUAGACUGGGGAUAUAUUAGAGGAAGCAGAUUGUCAAAUUAAGGGUGUCAUUGUGUUGUGCUAAACGCUGGGAGGGUACAAGUUGGUCAUUCCUAAAUCUGUGUGUGAGAAAUGGCAGGUCUAGUUUGGGCAUUGUGAUUGCAUUGCAGAUUACUAGGAGAAGGGAAUGGUGGGUACACCGGUAGUGCUCUUUUGUUCUUGCUUCGUUUUUUUAAACUUGAACUUUACUUCGUUAGAUUUCAUAAUACUUUCUUGGCAUUCUAGUAAGAGGACCCUGAGGUGGGAGUUGUGGGGGACGGGGAGAAGGGGACAGCUUGGCACCGGUCCCGUGGGCGUUGCAGUGUGGGGGAUGGGGGUAUGCAGCUUGGCACUGGUACUGGGA
rnacentral:lncRNA from 1 species